rnacentral:rRNA from 1 species
GUGUCAGCCGCCGCGGUAACACGUAGGAGGCAAGCGUUAUCCGGAUUUACUGGGUGUAAAGCGCGUGCAGGCGGUUCGGAAAGUUGGAUGUGAAAGCUCCUGGCUCAACUGGGAGAGGUCGUUCAAAACUACCGAACUGGAGGGCAGUAUAGGGAGAUGGAAUUCCCGGUGUAGUGGUGAAAUGCGUAGAUAUCGGGAGGAACACCAGUGGCGAAAGCGAUCUCCUGGACUGUCUCUGACGCUCAGACGCGAAAGCUAGGGUAGCAAACGGGAUUAGAAACCCGCGUAGUCC